rnacentral:rRNA from 1 species
AGAAGUGAAAACAAGCACGGGUACUUGUACCUGGUGGCGAGCGGCGGACGGGUGAGUAAUGCCUAGGAAUCUGCCUGGUAGUGGGGGAUAACGCUCGGAAACGGACGCUAAUACCGCAUACGUCCUACGGGAGAAAGCAGGGGACCUUCGGGCCUUGCGCUAUCAGAUGAGCCUAGGUCGGAUUAGCUAGUUGGUGAGGUAAUGGCUCACCAAGGCGACGAUCCGUAACUGGUCUGAGAGGAUGAUCAGUCACACUGGAACUGAGACACGGUCCAGACUCCUACGGGAGGCAGCAGUGGGGAAUAUUGGACAAUGGGCGAAAGCCUGAUCCAGCCAUGCCGCGUGUGUGAAGAAGGUCUUCGGAUUGUAAAGCACUUUAAGUUGGGAGGAAGGGCAUUUACCUAAUACGUAAGUGUUUUGACGUUACCGACAGAAUAAGCACCGGCUAACUCUGUGCCAGCAGCCGCGGUAAUACAGAGGGUGCAAGCGUUAAUCGGAAUUACUGGGCGUAAAGCGCGCGUAGGUGGUUCGUUAAGUUGGAUGUGAAAUCCCCGGGCUCAA